CACUGUUUAUUACCCAGGGUAGGUAAACACACUGUUUAUUACCCAGGGUAGGGACACACACCUGGACACACACUGUUUAUUACCCAGGGUAGGGACACACACCUGUACACACACUGUUUAUUACCCAGGGUAGGGACACACACCUGGACACACACUGUUUAUUACCCAGGGUAGGGACACACACCUGGACACACACUGUUUAUUACCCAGGGUAGGGACACACACCUGGACACACACUGUUUAUUACCCAGGGUAGGGCCACACACUGUUUAUUACCCAGUGUAGGGACACACACCUGGACACACACUGUUUAUUACCCAGGGUAGGUACACACACUGUUUAUUACCCAGGGUAGGGACACAC